UACGAAGGGUGCAAGCGUUACUCGGAAUUACUGGGCGUAAAGCGUGCGUAGGUGGUGAGUUAAGUCUGUCGUGAAAGCCCCGGGCUCAACCCGGGAAUGGCCUUCAAGACUGUCGAGCUAGAGGACGAGAGAGGUGAGUGGAAUUCCCAGUGUAGAGGUGAAAUUCGUAGAUAUUGGGAAGAACACCGGUGGCGAAGGCGGCUCACUGGCUCGUUUCUGACGCUGAGGCGCGAAAGCGUGGGGAGCAAACAGG
rnacentral:rRNA from 1 species